rnacentral:rRNA from 1 species
UACGUAGGUGGCAAGCGUUAUCCGGAUUUACUGGGCGUAAAGGGAGCGUAGGCGGACUUUUAAGUGAGAUGUGAAAUACUCGGGCUCAACUUGAGUGCUGCAUUUCAAACUGGAAGUCUAGAGUGCAGGAGAGGAGAAUGGAAUUCCUAGUGUAGCGGUGAAAUGCGUAGAGAUUAGGAAGAACACCAGUGGCGAAGGCGAUUCUCUGGACUGUAACUGACGCUGAGGCUCGAAAGCGUGGGGAGCAAACAGG